UACGUAGGGUGCAAGCGUUGUCCGGAAUUAUUGGGCGUAAAGAGCGUGUAGGCGGUCCGGUAAGUCCGCUGUGAAAGUCCAGGGCUCAACCCUGGAAUGCCGGUGGAUACUGCCGGGCUAGAGUCCGGAAGAGGCGAGUGGAAUUCCACGUGUAGCAGUGAAAUGCGUAGAGAUGUGGAGGAACACCGAUGGCGAAGGCAGCCCCCUGGGUCAAGAUUGACGCUCAUGCACGAAAGCGUGGGGAGCAAACAGG
rnacentral:rRNA from 1 species